AAAAAACGAAAGCUUGGCGCUGCUCUUUAAUCUCUUGUUUCCACCUCUUACGCCACCAUGAUUAGGAUUCACUGUUUUAUUUAGGAAAGCAGUUGCCACCUGCUUUCUUGACAUAAUUUGCGGCUGUAUAUUGCUCAGAGCAAAGGCCAGAACGUUCUAUACCUUACACAUUUGCCAGUUAAAAUUGGGGGUUUGGGGGUAGAAUGUGUGGAAUUUUGCAAUCUGUUGCUUGGCAACUUUAAGGGAGUUAAGCCUCCACAUUCUGUGACCGUCAAGAGUUACAAAGUUUGCCCUCUCACCUCCCAAGAGUUCCAUCUGAUCAGAUGCUAGGCGGGCUCAUCUUGGCAGAAUGAAGCAAGGGGUCAGAUUCUUCUGUGACGACAUGUGCAGGCAGUUACCGGAGCAAACAACUGGCUGAGUCCAAAUGCCGUGGAUUUUCUCUUAAAGCAGGACAGCGUUGACCUGAGUGUAACCAUCCUAACAUUAUGUAUAACUACCUCCUCGUGAAGAGAUAAAAAUGUCAAGAAGCAGUGAGUGUGAUAAAUGAAGAUGAAGGGCAGAUUCAGCUCAUUUUGAAAGCACUGAUUAAAUUCUAAAUUUGCUUUUGUUUUUAA